AUGUCGGCAGUUGCCACCUAUCUAUGUCGUCAGUUGCCAUCAUAUUAUAUUAUCAGUUGCCAUCAGUUCGACAAACUAGUUGUCAUCCAGAUUGUAGAAAAGAGGAUGAACAUGCGUGCCCUAUCAUCUGAAAAAUGCACGCCUACGAUAAUUCCUACUUGCCAUGCUGUAAUAGUUGUUUACGACAUAAAUGUGAUAAGAUUGUCAUGUUUCCUUUUAUGUGCAAACAACAAACAAAUGGAAUUCAAAAUACCGAGUAAUGAUGUGUUCUUAUUCGUGCAAUUACCAAAAACACAGUGUGUAAAGCAGAGAAAAUGA
rnacentral:rRNA from 1 species